UGCUCACAGAUCAUUAUUAACAUUCUGUAUAUAAUUCAAUUUUAUUUUCUCUCCCUUUUUUAUUAUUUUUAUUUUUAUUUUUAGCUGAAAAGACGUAAAGAAAGCAGUCAGUCCAGUCGUGUGUCUGGAGAGGUAUUCCUUCAGAAAUGGAGAAGACAGAAAGCUGCGGAGGCAGACAUUUGCAGCAUGUUCGAGUGAGCAUGAUGACCACAAGUGUGUGUCGAACUUUUCAUGACCUGAUGACUGUGUUUCCCAAUCCUGAUCCUGGAGAACCCCAGCACUGCACGGUUUUGGUGUCUCUCUUAUCUGACAAACACACUUUUGAGGUCUUGGAGUCUUCACUGAUGAGCUGAUGAGUUGAAUCAGGAUUGUUUGCAGAUAACACUGUAGUUCUCCAUCAUGCACAAGGACUCCCCUCGUUAACUCUUUAUCCCCCGCACACACAGAAAUGGUCCCUGGAUCAGUGAUUAGACUUUGCAGUGGUUUGAUUUUUGCAAAAGAUGUAACUUUGUUUUAAUUAUAAGCUCAUAAUGAAUACAUUACAGAACCAGUGAUGAAAACAAUAGUUAAAAAUAGUAUUUUUCGCAUUGAUA